GGAUGCGAUCAUACCAGCACUAAAGCACCGGAUCCCAUCAGAACUCCGGAGUUAAGCGUGCUUGGGCGAGAGUAGGCGUCAUCCCUCCUUUUCUGCCGUCCGCCUCCGCGCGUUUCCUUUUGCUGCACACGGAUGCUAUCUAAACCGUUGUAGGCGUCGGUUGUAACGUAAACAGCCACGUGGCUGCGCCUACGUCGGCCCCGAGUUUCUUUCGCGGCACGCUACCCCUCCUUGCGGGGCCUACAGAAGCGGCAAACGGUACGCUGGCCUGUGAGAAGGCGAAUGCCUGAGCCGUUCGCGGCUCCGGCGCGCGAGCGAGCACAAUAGUGGCGGGGGCGCAAGGCAUGUC
rnacentral:rRNA from 1 species